rnacentral:rRNA from 1 species
CGGUGAGCAUGUGUUUAAUUCGAAGCAAACGCGAAGAACCUUACCAGGUCUUGACAUCCCGAUGCUAUUUCUAGAGAUAGAAAGUUACUUCGGUACAUCGGUGACAGGUGGUGCAUGGUUGUCGUCAGCUCGUGUCGUGAGAUGUUGGGUUAAGUCCCGCAACGAGCGCAACCCCUAUUGUUAGUUGCCAUCAUUCAGUUGGGCACUCUAGCGAGACUGCCGGUAAUAAACCGGAGGAAGGUGGGAUGACGUCAAAUCAUCAUGCCCCUUAUGACCUGGGCUACACACGUGCUACAAUGGUUGGUACAACGAGUUGCGAGUCGGUGACGGCGAGCUAAUCUCUUAAAGCCAAUCUCAGUUCGGAUUGUAGGCUGCAACUCGCCUACAUGAAGUCGGAAUCGCUAGUAAUCGCGGAUCAGCACGCCGCGGUGAAUACGUUCCCGGGCCUU